GAGGAAACCUAAAAAGUAAAAAUAAGAUUUCAACGCGCUUUAAAAAGUGACAACUCUUCUCAAAAAAAAAAAAUGUACAAACUCAUCUGUAUUUUGUGGCUGUGUGGCUGAACGGAGGGUGCCUUUUUUGAUUUCAGAAGGAAAGCUACGCAUCUUCAUGUGAGUGUGCUUUCUUUCCCAUGUGCUUUCCCGGUCUUUUUCAUUUCCACACCUGCUUUGAGCUUUAAUCACUCAAAUUAUUCAUAGACUUGCCCUGGAAAAAGAAGAGAGUGACCUCUUCCCAUCUGGAGUAGAUGGAUUUACCAUCAAUAAUUGUAAAUGGACUUGGAUGACUUAAUGGUUUUUAUGCUUAAAAUUUUUAAUUCUGUGAUUUCAUUGCUUUUUAAGAAUUCCAGCACGUGGUCUUCUCCGAACUGAUAAAUCUCUAUGGUAUAACUUCAACUUAUUUCUUGCAAAUUAUAUCUUAACACUGGCCUCACAUCCACAAAGUGCUGAUGAUCCCCCCAUGAACUGCUGAGUCGUCAAAGAGCAGGCAGUUUUCACAGGACCAGGCUCCAGCUCUCUGCAGUUUGAUAUGUAUGAAAUGUGCUAAGCUUCAGCUGGCCUGGAUGUCUAAUAAACACUUUAGUGAAUGAGGCUUAGUGCAGCUUCCUCUAUUAACUCAAAAGAGAUGCGUUUCUUUUCUGGAUUGUUUCUCCAUUCAGAAGGAAAGAAGACCUGCAUGGCCAGAGUUCACCUCAUAAAUCACCUAGACAAAUGGCACUCGGGGCAGAAUAAGGUACAAAAUGAGAGUCAUUGUGAUUUAGUCUCAACGAACUUGUGGUAUUCUGCUAUGGAAAUGUUCGUGACAUGAGACAAACAGAGAGAGCCACCUGGCACCAAGCACAUCUUCACGACGGAGGGAACACCACGAGAGCGACUUCAGUGGGCUCAGCAAUCGUGCAGGGUAUUUAGCGAGUUGUCCCAUAUCUCCUUAAUGCUGUCUUUUGCAACAGUGCUGUGCUUUUUUCUCUUUUUUAUCCUUUUCCUCUUAUUUCUGAUGCUCAGAAUGCAGUGAUUUUUGUACAAGCUGCAGGCAGUCCACACUCGCUCAGUCCCCACAGCAAGGUGUGGUACUUUCUGACACUGAUUCUCCGCAGCUGCAUGGAAGGGCCACUUCAGAAAUCAGCUGCUCUUCAUCUUCCCGGGUUUUAGCUGAGCUUAACCUUUGGUGAUCAGUAAAUGGACAUGGUAAGAAAGGCUGUGGCCCAGCUGCUCCUCCUUGAAAUUCCUGAGACUUGUCAACCAACCUCUGCGCCCUCACCUGCCUGCAUUUCAGCAUCCCUCUCAUCUUAUUGCAGUUUCUUGUCUUUCUAUUGGAGGUAGAGACGUGUGAAAACAUCUUCAGGGUGAUGGAUCAUGAGUGUGGGUACAGGUGGCAGUAUUUUGGGUGCAAAUAAGGAAAGAAAACACUUUGUGACUUCUGCAAAUGGGUGCUAGGUGCUUUCUUAACACCAGUUCACUUGAUCUCCUGCCUAAUUUAAACAAUGCAUCUUGUCCUUGUUCAAUAAUUUUCUUCUACUCUUAGUACUUUUAUAAUAUCUUCAUUAGUUAUUGAUCCAAGUUCUGAAAUAUUUGGGGCUGAGGGGGAGUCCUUUUUGAUUCCAAGUGUCUGAUAAAUCUCUUUGUUGCCACCUGCAAACUCUGCUCUUGUUUCUUCCCCUCAUUCUGUGUUUAUUUAAAGGACCCUUCAAAAUCAUGUUGGCUCCCCUGGAUAUGAUGGGACUUUUGUUCUACUAGAUCAGAGCGUCCUGUCGGGGCUUUGCCAUUUCUGAGGAAGCAAAGUCAGGUAUCUUUCAGCUCAGUUGUUGCUUCAUCUCCUCUGCUCUCCCAGGGGUCUUGCACACGCUUUCAGUUCUGCCUUACGUUUUUGAUUUGGUGAGGUUCCCUGCUAUUUACAUUUCUUCACAUAUAUCCUCUUCAUACCAUCUGCUACCUUAUGUUUUGCUCAUCUCUGAAAUUUAGCAACUGUACUUCAUGCAACAGCGUGCUACCUUAUUUUCUUAACGUUUAAUAAAAAGAUUCAAAAAGAACAAAGCAAAUUAGAACUCACCCUUUCCAUCUAGACAUAUUAACCGGUGAGGGAACACUUCAAUUAAGACCUUCAAAGCCUCGAGACAAAUGAAUUUGUAACUGCGAUUUUGUACGUUGUUUAUCCAAAAGGCACAGUAUCCAAUCAACUACAGUAGUUUUAUUACUGACAGUAAGAUAAGAUUAAAAAAUAAGAUUAUUAUAUAUUGCUAGCCUCUCUAUUAACUUUUUUCUUUAGAAUUCAGCAAGUCUUGGAAGUCGUAUUUACUUUAGAGUCAGCUGUAGCUGUGCCUUGUUAGGUAAAAGCUACAGUAACUGUUUUCCUGAACUUAGCUCCUGACCUACCUUUUAAGGCCACGUCUACAAAGGGAUGAUGCAUCAAUCUCGUUUGUUUGAUCUAAUUACAGCUAUUUAACUACACUGAGCACAAGUGCAUUCACCCCACUUUGUUAUGCUGAUUUAAGACGUUUUCCACUGUUAAUCGGGUGCGCGCCAUUCUUCCUUGCAUCAAUUCACCUCUCAAAAUAUUCUGGGCAGCUAUCCCACAGAGCGCCGGUCUGUUACUCAGCUGCGUGUUCUUUUUCACAGCAUGCUGCUAGGGAAUUCUCUGAAAUUUGGGAAUUCUUCAGGUCAAACUGACUAUUUACUGUUGCUUUUUUCUUGGCAUUGAUUUUUGCCUGUGCAACUUCUUUCUCAAAACGUUGAGAGGUUGCAUGAAGAAGCAGCUGCUAAAUCCAUUACAAUGCUUAUUCCUGCGAGGUGGCACAGGUGGAAGGAUCUAGUUGUAUAGCUUCGCAGGUCUUUUGCUACUUGAGGAAUGGAAGAAAUGCAAAAAAAAGCGAAACCACCAGAUGUAAUCAACCUGUUACUUCUGUACAACGUCUACCUGGAGCAGUUUACUCAACGGUGAGCUCUUCUGGGUGUGACUGGUGGCACGGGGACGUGGUGCAGAGCUGGGAUGAGCAGAAGCAGCAGCCGCCUGUUGGGACAAGGCAGAACACAAACCAAAGGCAUCCCUUAGCAUGCAGAAGCCCGUUGCUGUCUGUGGAAGAGCACCGUUUCUGAUCACUUGCAACUGAAAAUUAGCCAGUUUUAUGUCAGGGAUGCUGUCGUGGGAUUUUUUUAUGCCUAUAUCUGAAGAAGGUGCUGAUCUUCUGUGUCAUAAAGCUUGGUAAUGCAUAAGAAAUUACUGAGAGCUUUUCCUAGGUAUAGUCCAUGAAUCAAGUAGGGGUUAUAGGGGUUCAAAGAAUAAACAUGGUCUGUUGAGCCAGGAGAAAGAAUUUAUGGAGACAGCGAACAGUUUCUUAAUGGUUGUACACGGCCUUGCUCAUCAGUGCAGGUGAUUUACCAUUAAAUGGAUGUAGAAUGAGCCUAGGAUGGGAUUGUGAAACUUGCUCAGAGCAGAAUCUUUAGAAACUUGAACUUACCCUGAUUUGUACAACACCCGUAAGAGGAGGGGAAAGAUACUGAAGGGUGGACAAAAGCAAGGAAUGGGAAGACACUUUCAGUAUUAUGGACAUCCAGUGAAAAAGUCUCUGCAAAAAUAGCUGCUUGAGGAGGAAAAAAUGUGCAUUAAGACAAGAGAUAAUGAAUCAAUUUAAUCAAAGAAACAGCAUUUGGACUUUAUUAGCAGAUACUAAAGGCGCUGUCAUGCUGCUGCGUGUUCAGUGUAGCUCAGAGAUCUUCAACAGAAGUGUCAAAGUAGUUUGACUUGGCAAAAUAACAUUAAUAAAAGAAGAAACGCUUGAUCUGAAAUGCACUCCCUGCACUCUUCUGUAACUGAAAGUUGCAAAGAAGUCCUCCAAGUAACUUGCUGAAAUGGUAGCCUGAGGUGGUGGCCCCAAAUCAUCUAUUCUUCCUCUAAAAGUGCACUGUUAAAUUUGAAAUACACCUUUCUCGCUAUUUUUAUUACUAUAGCAAAUACAGGAAGAAAAAUAGCGGUCAUAGAAAGACAUCACGAGGCCCACUGGUCACAGCUCUGCUCCAGGACAAGAGGAAGAUGCUUUGACGUGUGAAAAGAUGCUGGAAAGAUGUGUGGAUGUUUUUAUAUCGUCUCCUUUAAAAAUAAAGCAAAACAACGACGAAACCACUGCCCGUGCUAGUAUUUUCAUUGUUUAGACAUCACUUCUGUUGCUCUGCUAAAUCUUACUGUGAAUUAAGUCUAUGGCCUGUUCUGCUUUUUUAGGCAUGAACGUUUGGUUGUCGACCUUCAGUGUAGCAAAGUGGAAGAUGGCUGUUUUGUCCCCUCUCAUGUAAGCUCUCCCUUUUUUUUCCCCUUUUCCUUUUUUCUUUUUCCUUUUUUCCCCCCGUUUUUAAUGCAAUAUUUCAACUUGUUCUUAGGUUUAGAUUUUCUAAGCCUCCCAGCCUUCUUGUUGCUCUCUUUGUGCUCUUCCCAGCUGGUUUAUAUCUGUUUUUAUUUUUAAUGUGGUGCCUGAAAUUGGAUACAAUAUUCCAGCUGAGAUUUCACCAGGACUGAGUUGAACAAGAUAAUUGUCACGGGUGUCCUACGUAAAACAACCUUAUUAAAUAUUUCUGUGAUGUAUUAUCUUUAUUGUGUUGACUCAAAUUCAGUUUGUGAUCCAUUAUAACCACUGGCUUCUUUAGUGCAGUUCUGCUGCCCAGCCAGUUUUCCCCCUUACUGUGCACGUUCAUGUCUUGAUCUGUGGCUACAGAAAACGACUGAAAAUGUCGUGCCUGAAGACAAGGGGGAGAAAAAGAUCUGAGGAGGGUUUCCAAAUGCACCAUUGGUGUGAACUCCAAGUGGGCCAGCCUGCAAAUGGAAGAGGAAUUGUCAGUUAAUGUUCUUUUUCAACAACGGAUGGGAUUUAUGUUUUAUUACUCAAAAAGUUCAUAGAAGUCCUAAUGUGAGCUGGAAUAGGAAUGUUUGCUUGCAAGUGGGAAGGAAAAUAGUUACACUACGUGAAUCUUGGGUUAUAAUUCUUGCGAAGUUUUUCGCUGUCCUGUCACUCACAAGAUGAGCAGAACAAUUUUAUUAAUGUCCCUUUUAAAAAAUAAUAAUUGUGGCUGUGGAGUUGAGAUAAACCGAAGUUAAAAUUGAGCGGCUUCGUAGAAAGAAGAAAUCAACAACCAGAAGAGCUGUGCAAUUCUGCUUUUGUCCAAAACUUUUAAGGAUGUAAAGAUGCAAUCUGUGUAUGCGAGGUGUCCUCUUGGUCUUUCAUGCAGCUGUCUGGUGAGAACAUUGCCCAAACCAACCAACCACCAAAAAUUCAGGAUCCAUUUCUGCCCUGUGCCCCCUUGUGUAUUAUUGUUUAAAGAAGCAUGAAGAGGUGACAGACAAGGCUUUGACAGCAUGGAGCAAGGUGUGCUUGAAGUCCUGAACGUCUGUGGAGAAUGGAAGACCCCGAGAAGAGCAGCCAAGGUUUGUUUGCUAAAGAGAAGUAUGAAUAAAGCAGUCAUCCACCAGGUUGCAGAUGAGCGUUCCAAGCACACUGCUGGUAUUGUUUUUCCCCGGUGGUUGGACUUCCACGAUGUGGGACUCGAGGAGCCUCCCUUGGUCACCAAGCCUUAUGCCAGGUGUCUACAGAACGUCUGGAGCUCAGGAUUCAGUUUUACAGAGAACGAACAGUUCUGACCGGUGCCUUUGUUUUACUGAAGGUUUUAAUAUAUUUUCCUGCCUACGUGGGCAAACUGCGAUGCUUGUACUUUUCACCUCGUCUCUCCCGGUGUUGCACGUCAGAGGCCUUUUAGAGGUCCCCGGUGGAGAGGCGAUUUUAUUCCAUAUUCCAGAAGAAAGUAACGGGGAUGAAAAUCGUGGCCAGCGGGGGAAGCCCCCGGCCCCUGCAGGUUGCUCAGCCCAGAAGUCGGUGGUACAGUGCCGCAUCUGCCCAGCACGCACUUCAGGGUUGUUGAACUUCACUCCCCGAGCAGCCACAGAGGUCGCUUCUGAGCAGCACGAAACGUGGUGGAUUUUUUUUUAUUUUUUUAAAUUUUUUUUCCUCCCCACCAAGGCUCUCGGUCCCUCAUGGCCGGAGUGGCAAAGCACGUUUAAAUCCUUAACUCGGAUUUCCCACGUGGUGUCUCGUUGAGCUGCUGUCACAGGCACGCCGCUCGCUCAUUUACACGGGGCGAAUUCACUUAUUUCCUGCUGGCGCGGAGAGCGCAGGAGGUGAUUAACACUCUUAAUGAAACGGUAUUUCCAGACACCACAGAAAAAAAGAAAAAAAAAAAAAAAAAGAGAGAAAAACCCACGACUUGUGGGAAAAGCCAGCUCUCAUCAGCAGCAGGCUCUUGCUCUUUGAGUCCACCACCGAGUGGACAAAUACAGGGUACAAAAAUACAAAAUACAAAGGUGACUGAAGUUGGGCUCCUCUUUUCAGGGGUGUUAAUUCAGGAGUUAAUUCAGCCCCGUUGGGUGCAUUUGGGGUGCGGGUACAUGCAAACAGCACGCCUGGUUUGGGGGUGAGGGGUCAGCAGUGUGUGCUGGGAGGGAAACCCCACUUGUUUGUGUGAAUGCAGCAUAUAUUGGACGUGUGUAAGCAUUACAUUGAGGGGGGGGAUUUUUAUUUUUUUUAUCUUUUCACCCCAUUCAGAGACCUUGGACAUAACGCGUGGUGUUUCGGCACUGAGAAAGGAGAAAGGGAAUGGGGGGGCAGGGAGGGGAGUGCCCAAAGUUGCAUCUGGCCUUCAGACCCCACUGUAAUUCCUGGUGGAAGGUGUCCCUUACCUUUAAUUAUUCAGUUUAGCCAGACCUACAGUGCACCUCGUGUCACUUUCAGGCCUUUUUCCUGGUGUCUCUAGGAGGCACCCUUCAUCGAGCAAGGGGAUAAAAUCUUGGCAAAAAGAGCACCAAAGGAUGUGAACCCCUAGGAAAAUUCCACUUCCUGUAUACUAAUGCUUGUCCUUGGGUCUCUCACUCGUUCCCAUGCAUUUAACAAGGGAUUUGUGCCUGAGGCUACGACACCAACUUUCUAAAUAAACGCAGCGCUGCAGAGAAUAACCCAGCUCGCUGCUUUUUCCCCUUGUGCGCUGAGCAGCUCAGCACGACCUACGUCUCCUCUCCUCCUCCUCCUCCCCUCCAUUUUAUUUCUCCUCUUUCUUUUUCAGCAGACUCAACUCUCUCUCCUGCUCAACUUGCUGUGAACAAAAGGCUCCGUUCCAGAUCCAGCCCGCAGUUGCCGUGAGAAACUUCUCUGCGAGCGCUGGCUGUCGCGCUGCCUCCCUCGCCUGCUCGCUGCCUCCCUGCCUCGGUAAAAUGGCAGUGCAAGAGCUUCAUGAAAAGGGUGAAAACCCUCCUUUCUCGGCCCCUGGCUCUCCAGCAGCACUCCCCCUGCCCUAUUCGUGACUCCUGAACUCCAACUUGGCUAAAAAUACACUUUCAGAGGGCAGAA